ACCAUACACAAAAUCUGUGUAUUCCCGAUAUUAGGACUCCUAGCCAAUGCUAAGAAAUGAGAAUUAUAAACUUAUUUGAUAAAAGGAGGGUUGGCAAUCCUGGCGGUGGGCGGAGCUAAGCGAGGAUUCAAAUCUUUACAACCGUUGACCAGUCAGUUGACCUGUGACCUCCGUCAAGUGUGCGCCGUCUCUCUGUGUUUGUGUGUGUUAUUUUUGUGGAUAAAUGAUUCAUUUAAAAAAUAAGAAUGGAAGAAUACUGCAGCAGACCUGCUGGCACAUACAAGGAACCGUCUGUCCUCUCCAGAAUUUGGUACUAGAGAGUCCUUGUGACUGUAAAGGAUCCACCAUGUGACUGAUGGCUGCUAGACCGAGCUACAUGGGUGGUG